rnacentral:rRNA from 1 species
AUUGAACGCUGGCGGCAGGCCUAACACAUGCAAGUCGAGCGGAUGAAGGGAGCUUGCUCCUGGAUUCAGCGGCGGACGGGUGAGUAAUGCCUAGGAAUCUGCCUGGUAGUGGGGGAUAACGUCCGGUGACGGGCGCUAAUACUGCCUACGUCCUGAGGGAGCAAGUGGGGGAUCUUCGGACCUCACGCUAUCAGAUGAGCCUAGGUCGGAUUAGCUAGCUGGUGGGGUAAAGGCCUACCAAGGCGACGAUCCGUAACUGGUCUGAAAGGAUGAUCAGUCACACUGGAACUGAGACGCGGUCCAGACUCCUACGGGAGGCAGCUGUGGGGAAUAUUGGACAAAGGGCGAAAGCCUGAUCCAGCCAUGCCGCGUGUGUGAAGAAGGUCUUCGGAUUGUAAAGCACUUUAAGUUGGGAGGAAGGGCAGUAAGUUAAUACCUUGCUGUUUUGACGUUACCAACAGAAUAAGCACCGGCUAACUUCGUG